rnacentral:lncRNA from 1 species
GAGGUGAAAGGCUGGGGUACAAAGUCAUUCCUUGAUGGUCAUGGAGAAGCAUUUAUGCAGGUUAAUAUUUGGAGAACCACCAGCUCCAGUGGCUGCAUGCUCACCAUUAACAUGAAGCAGUUGCUGCUGUGGAUGAGGAGAAAGAUGUCCUGGAUCCUGCUUUGCUGAGAGCUGCUGCAUUAAGUCUCCAGGAGGCUGUUUCACGGUCUGCAGGUCAAUGGAUGCUGCCCCAGCGAGCUCACAAGAGGCUUUUUACCACCAACCUAUUGAUACCACAUGGCGGAUGAGAGCACCUCCUACUCUCCCUCCCCUCUUUGCUCCAGACCGAAAAGCACUGGGUUGUCUCAGCUUGGCAGAAGAAGAAAUACAAAAAGGGGGAAGCCAAGUUAUGAGUUCGGCUCCAGAGCCCUCCCUGCUCCUUCUGAAGUGUGGGUCCCUUGUUCCAACAAGGGCAUGUGUGCAAACGUGUUUCCUACGAAGCGUUCCCAUGGCAGAGCUCUCAGCGCUCUAUUUAUUUUGCUGGGUUCUCGCUCAGGUCAACCACGAUGCUCUGAAGCGUGGUGGUUUGGACUUGGAGAUGGCUCAUGUGGUCUCCAUUACUGGAGAUCACCACUUAAAAGCCAGCCUUGCCAAGACAGACCAGAGCCUCUCAUUAUCCGACAGCUUUGCCCAAAUUUGA